GUUAUCAGUCACAUUCGGGACAUUUGCUCGUGUGCGCGCCUCACCCAUCUGAAAUAUUUUUUACAGACGCCAUUUUCUUUGCUCGCGAUGCGGAGCAUAAUGAGGACGGGAAACAGCGAAAUACAGCGUUUAAUCUUAAUUACAAAAUGUAAUGUAAUGUCAUAUCGUUUAAUAACGAUAUUUAUGUGCUGUAUGUGGCUAAAAUUUUCUCUGAGACAUGUUUAUCCACUCGCGAUGCGGAACAGACCAGAGUCCUGUGUACUCCUAAACUUUUUCUCAGAGAGAUAUUUUCUUUCACUCACGAUACAGAGGAGACCAGUUUUAUCAAGGAAAACACCGAAAGUAAGUGUUUUAUCUAAGUUGCGAUAUGUAUUUUGUAAGAUAAUAUUACGUUAUGACGAUAUUUAUAACGUUAUGCUGUUCGCGCCUAAACGAGCCUAAACGUUUCUCACAGAUUUGAAUUGCAAUGCGGAGCUGAUGCAGAUGAGCCGCUUUUAAUAGGGAAACUUAAGGGAGAUAUUUUCUUUCACUCACGAUGCGGAGCAGACGGGGAAGUUGGUUUUAUCAAGGAAACACCUAAAAUUUGAAUUGUUAUGCAGGGCAGACGCAGAGGUCACUUUAACAGGAAAACGUAAGAAAGAGAUAUUCUUUCACUCUGGAGAUGAUGUGCUUGAAGAGUAUGAAGUCACCAUUACAUUAAGUGGGAUGAGAAGAGCUCUGUUAGGACACAUACCAGAAACAAGGGAGGAGUCCAACCUCAAUGCAGAGAGAGAUCAGUACGCACUUGGAAUUAUGACUUUGUUUCUGUUGUUAAAAGACUAAUUUUCCAGUAAGACUGACUUUCUUUUUACAAUAUAUAUACAUACAUUUACAGUGAAUUAAAUGAUUUUCCUUAAAAGAGUAAGUCACCCAAAAAUGAAAAUCGAGUCAACAUUUACUUAGCCUUGGCCUUGUG